UACGUAGGGGCCUAGCGUUGUCCGGAAUUAUUGGGCGUAAAGAGCUCGUAGGCGGUUCGGCAAGUCGGAUGUGAAAUCUCCACGCUCAACGUGGAGGGGCCAUUCGAAACUGCCGUGACUCGAGUCCGGUAGGGGAGUGUGGAAUUCCCGGUGUAGCGGUGAAAUGCGCAGAUAUCGGAAGGAACAUCAGUGGCGAAAGCGACUUCCUGGACCAAUACUGACGCUCAUGUGCGAAAGCGUGGGGAGCAAACAGG
rnacentral:rRNA from 1 species